AUGUAUCAUCUGCCUGCACUGAAGUAUAAGCAGUUACCAGCUGAUGUCAUACACUGCUUGAUGACGUUGAUAUUGCUGGAAAUAUCUCUAGGACUGAAAAUAGCAGAAAUGUCAGUAAGAAAGUGGCAGAGCUCUACAGCCUUGGUCUGGUUUUGCUGUUCAGGGUUUAUUGUUCGGCUGAGAAAGCCUUGAAGAUUCCCAAACCAGUGACAUGAAAACCAAGCUGGUGUAAAUUACCACGGCUCAAUGCAGCUGAGCAGAUUUACAUCAUUUGAAGACGCAGUCCUUGGCAUGUUGGAGCAGCCUGCUUUUCGAGAACCUGGCAGUUAGUGUGCCAUGGAUAGCAUUUACAGCACCUCUCACCCUGCAAAUCCAGUGCUGGCCUGCUGUGAUCAGGUAAUUUUGGGAAAGAAGGGCUAGCACCCUUGCUUUGUGAGGUGGUUUGCAUCCUGUUCUCUGUGUUGCUUUGCUUGGCUCAUGUGAAACAGUGGAGCAAGGGUGAUUUUUGGGGGGUCUGUACACCCCACAGCCCUCGUGGCACAGGUUGGGAGGGCUCCCUGUGCUGCCCUUGUGCUUGCUGCUCCUCACCCC
rnacentral:lncRNA from 1 species